rnacentral:rRNA from 1 species
AUUGAACGCUGGCGGCAUGCCUUACACAUGCAAGUCGAACGGCAGCAUGAUCUAGCUUGCUAGAUUGAUGGCGAGUGGCGCUCGGGUGAGUAAUACAUCGGAACGUGCCCUGUAGUGGGGGAUAACUAGUCGAAAGAUUAGCUAAUACCGCAUACGACCUGAGGGUGAAAGUGGGGGACCGCAAGGCCUCAUGCUAUAGGAGCGGCCGAUGUCUGAUUAGCUAGUUGGUGGGGUAAAGGCCCACCAAGGCGACGAUCAGUAGCUGGUCUGAGAGGACGAUCAGCCACACUGGGACUGAGACACGGCCCAGACUCCUACGGGAGGCAGCAGUGGGGAAUUUUGGACAAUGGGGGCAACCCUGAUCCAGCAAUGCUGCGUGUGUGAAGAAGGCCUUCGGGUUGUAAAGCACUUUUGUCCGGAAAGAAAUCGCACUUACUAAUAUUAGGUGUGGAUGACGGUACCGGAAGAAUAAGGACCGGCUAACUACGUG